rnacentral:rRNA from 1 species
UGCAGUCGACGAUGAACCACUUCGGUGGGGAUUAGUGGCGAACGGGUGAGUAACACGUGGGCAAUCUGCCCUUCACUCUGGGACAAGCCCUGGAAACGGGGUCUAAUACCGGAUAUGAGCCUGGGAGGCAUCUCCUGGGUUGUAAAGCUCCGGCGGUGAAGGAUGAGCCCGCGGCCUAUCAGCUUGUUGGUGAGGUAAUGGCUCACCAAGGCGACGACGGGUAGCCGGCCUGAGAGGGCGACCGGCCACACUGGGACUGAGACACGGCCCAGACUCCUACGGGAGGCAGCAGUGGGGAAUAUUGCACAAUGGGCGAAAGCCUGAUGCAGCGACGCCGCGUGAGGGAUGACGGCCUUCGGGUUGUAAACCUCUUUCAGCAGGGAAGAAGCGAAAGUGACGGUACCUGCAGAAGAAGCGCCGGCUAACUACGUGCCAGCAGCCGCGGUAAUACGUAGGGCGCAAGCGUUGUCCGGAAUUAUUGGGCGUAAAGAGCUCGUAGGCGGCUUGUCACGUCGAUUGUGAAAGCCCGAGGCUUAACCUCGGGUCUGCAGUCGAUACGGGCUAGCUAGAGUGUGGUAGGGGAGAUCGGAAUUCCUGGUGUAGCGGUGAAAUGCGCAGAUAUCAGGAGGAACACCGGUGGCGAAGGCGGAUCUCUGGGCCAUUACUGACGCUGAGGAGCGAAAGCGUGGGGAGCGAACAGGAUUAGAUACCCUGGUAGUCCACGCCGUAAACGGUGGGAACUAGGUGUUGGCGACAUUCCACGUCGUCGGUGCCGCAGCUAACGCAUUAAGUUCCCCGCCUGGGGAGUACGGCCGCAAGCUAAAACUCAAAGGAUUUGAC